AUCUUUGGUGAUUCAGCUUAAAUGAUAGACUCAAUAUGUUAGACUUCAUAAAGCUAGGUUACCAAAGCU
rnacentral:pre_miRNA from 1 species